rnacentral:rRNA from 1 species
UGAACGCUGGCGGCGUGCUUAACACAUGCAAGUCGAACGAUGAAGCCUAGCUUGCUAGGUGGAUUAGUGGCGCACGGGUGAGUAAUAUAUAGGUAAUGUGCCUCUUAGUCUGGGAUAGCCAUUGGAAACGAUGAUUAAUACCGGAUACUCCUUCUAAUCUCAAGAUUAGUCGGGAAAGUUUUUCGCUAAGAGAUCGGCCUAUAUCCCAUCAGUUAGUUGGUAAGGUAACGGCUUACCAAGGCAAUGACGGGUAGCGGGUUUGAGAGGAUGAUCCGCCACACUGGUACUGAGACACGGACCAGACUCCUACGGGAGGCAGCAGUGAGGAAUAUUGCACAAUGGGGGAAACCCUGAUGCAGCAACGCCGCGUGGAGGAUGACGCAUUUCGGUGUGUAAACUCCUUUUAUGAGUCAAGAAAAUGACGGUAGCUCAUGAAUAAGCACCGGCUAACUCC